GAUGAACGCUAGCGAUAGGCUUAACACAUGCAAGUCGAGGGGCAGCACAAGGUAGCUUGCUAUCUGGGUGGCGACCGGCGCACGGGUGCGUAACGCGUAUGCAACUUGCCCUAUACAGGAGGAUAACCCGUCGAAAGACUGACUAAUACUGCGUAUGCUCACAACUUGGCAUCAAGUGGUGAGGAAAGAAAUUCGGUAUAGGAUAGGCAUGCGUCCCAUUAGCUUGUUGGUGAGGUAACGGCUCACCAAGGCAACGAUGGGUAGGGGAACUGAGAGGUUUAUCCCCCAAGCUGGUACUGAGACACCGACCAGACUCCUACGGGAGGCAGCAGUGAGGAAUAUUGGUCAAUGGGCGCGAGCCUGAACCAGCCAAGUCGCGUGAAGGAUGACUGUCUUAUGGAUUGUAAACUUCUUUUAUACGGGAAUAACAAGAGUCACGUGUGACUCCCUGCAUGUACCGUAUGAAUAAGCAUCGGCUAACUCCGUG
rnacentral:rRNA from 1 species